ACGAAGGUCGAGCUGUGCAGUUUUAGUGGGUACAAGAUCUACCCGGGACAGGGGAGGCACUACGCCAGGACCGACGGGAAGGUUUUCGAGUUUCUUAAUGCGAAAUGCGAGUCGGCAUUCCUUUCCAAGAGGAAUCCUUGGCAGAUAAACUGGACUGUCCUCCACAGAAGGAAGCACAAAAAGGGAGAGUCGGAAGAAAUUCAAAAGAAAAGAACCCACCCAGCAGUCAAAUUCCAGAGGGCCAUUACUGGUGCAUCUCUUGCUGAUAUAAUGGCCAAGAGGAAUCAGAAACCUUAAGUUAGAAAGGCUCAACGAGAACAAGCUAUCAGGGCUGCUAAGGAAGCAAAAAAGGCUAAGCAAGCAUCUAAAAAGACUGCAAUGGCUACUGCUAAGGCACCUACAAAGGCAGCACCUAAGCAAAAGAUUGUGAAGCCUGUGAAAGUUUCAGCUCCCCAAGUUGGUGGAAAACGCUAA
rnacentral:lncRNA from 1 species